rnacentral:rRNA from 1 species
GAUGAACGCUGGCGGCGUGCCUAAUACAUGCAAGUAGAACGCUGAAGGAGGAGCUUGCUCUUCUGGAUGAGUUGCGAACGGGUGAGUAACGCGUAGGUAACCUGCCUGGUAGCGGGGGAUAACUAUUGGAAACGAUAGCUAAUACCGCAUGACAACAGUUAUUGCAUGAUAACUGUUUAAAAGGGGCAACUGCUCCACUACCAGAUGGACCUGCGUUGUAUUAGCUAGUUGGUGAGGUAACGGCUCACCAAGGCGACGAUACAUAGCCGACCUGAGAGGGUGAUCGGCCACACUGGGAAUGGGACACGGCCCAGACUCCUACGGGAGGCAGCAGGAGGGGAAUUUCGGCAAUGGACGGAAGUCUGACCCGGCAACGCCGGGUGAGUGGAGGAAGUUUUCGGAUCGUAAAGCUCUGUUGUAAGGGAAGAACGAGUGGGAGGGUGGAAAGUUCACACUGUGACGGUAUCUGACCAGAAAGGGACGGCUAACUUCGUG